AGCUGUAAGGUUGAAACCCUUCUUCUCCUCAAACUGAUGGUGGUGGAAAAAAUAAAUCUUAAACUCCAUUUUGGGAUACAAGAAACACAAAAGCAGAAGUAGUGCAGUACUCUGGCCUUUACCUGACUCUGUGAUGCUUCCAAUCUCCCAGCUUCCUUCCUUCUUUGUAGAUAUUCACCAUGGGCUGUGUUGCAUUUAUGGUGGUGCAUCCUGACUUCAAUAUGAAUGGAAAUGAGAUGGUAGGGGUUUCUUCUACACUGUCAUAUAAAAUCCAGAUUAUCUGCUUUGAACUGGAUUUUAUGGCAGUGUAGAAGGAGUCAGGGUUGCUAUUAUUAAUAAUGGGAAAUUACUACAGAUUUUGCAUGAAUGGGCUGCUAUUGCUUUUGUUGGUUCAUUUAGAAUCUAUAUAUAUAAAAGAGUGAUGGCAUCACGGCAAUUCACAAAACAACAAAAGUACAGGCCCCCCAACCUCAAAAUUUGAAACACAACCCAUCAUCCACGCCUCAAGGUUGAUACAACAAAAAGAAAAGAAAAAUAAAGUCCUAAUUAGAGGGAGAGCAAUAAUUUUUUUUAUCCAAUUGUUGCCAGUUUAGAGGGCUAAUCUCUGCCCACUUGGUUGCCUAGCAACCAAGGGACAGCCAGGUUUCAGUUAGGGGACAGGCAGAUUUAGGCCUCACUUAGACUUCUUCCACAGAUUAUCUAAUUUGCACUGGAUUAUAUGGCAGUGUAGACCCAAGGCCCUUCCACACAGCUAUAUAACCCAUUUAUAAUCUUAUAUUAUCUGCUUUGCACUGGAUUAUCUUGACUCCACACUACCAUAUAAUCCACUUCAGUGUGCAUUUUAUACAGCUGUGAAGAAGGGGCCUCAGAUAAUCCAGUUCUGAGCAGAUAAUAUAAGAUUAGAAAUAUACAGUAGAGUCUCACUUAUCCAAGGUAAACAGGCCGGCAGGAUAAGUGAAUAUGUUGGAUAAUAAGAAGGGAUUCAGGAAAAGCCAAUUAAACAUCAAAUUAGGUAAUCGUUAUACAAAUUAAGCACCAAAACAUCAUAUUAUACAACAAAUUUGACAGAAAAAGUAGUUCCAUGCGCAGUAAUGCUAUGUAGUAUUUACAGUAGAGUCUCUGUUAUGAUUGAGCCUCAUGGCUCUGUUACUGGCAGACGUGGGCGUAAGACUCCUCGAGAGUCAGAUACUCUCGAGGAGCGAGAAAGAAAGAGACUGCGAGAUAUCUUUGCAGCACCAUCUGACGAAGAGUCUUUUGAGGGGUUUACGGAGAGAAUGGAGGAGGGGCUGGUUAGCUCGGAGGAGGAUGAGAUGGAUUGGACUCGGGUGAGGGAGGAAUUGGGGGCCACUGGCAAUGAUGGGAUGGAAGAUGAAUGAGGACCUUCAGGAUUAGACCCAUGGACAAGCUGGAGGGAUGGGACGGGAUCCACAGCUGGGGAUGCUGUGGGGCGUAGUCAGAGGUGUUCCAGCUCUGAUGAGGAAAGUGAUGAGGAAACGCCCGGGUUAAGGAGGGCAGCUGAUAGUGAUGAGGAUUUGUAACUGGCAUAAAAUGAGGCUUGGGAGCAAUUGCAAAUUGCGUUGGGCAAGGUAAUCUGGACGAACGCUUGGGAUCUGUGUGGGACGCUUUCCUGAAGACUGGUGUGUUUUCGUGUGCUGAUACCUUUGACCUUCCGUCGUCUUCUUGACGGACGCCAUCUCCUGCUUUGGAUUUCGGACUGAACUGACCACGGCUUGACUUCCCCCUACUCGGACUUGGUGAAACUACAAACGUUCUGCUUCUGGCUUGAACUACGGAAAGGAACUGGGUCUACUCUACUGCUUCAAUCCUCGGCUGAUCUGUGUGUAUUGGAAAUCUUGCCUGCUGUGUGGAGGAGUGACUCAAGUUACUCAAAGCACAGUGCUGGCAGCAGAGAGGAAUCUGCUGCCAAUUAAUUGCAUUCUUUUGAACACUUUGUUCCCCGGCUUCUGUUUUGUUUAUCCCCAGGCUGAAGCAAGCUGUUUUGUUUUUACCCGGAUUAAACUCCGGUUUAAUCCGGUUUAUCUUUUGAACGUUUUUCCUUGCCCCUUUUUGCUUUUAAAGGCUAAUACUGCCUGGCCCUUGUAUUUUACGGGCAUUUUGAGUUCUGUUAUCCAAUAAACUCUGUUAUCUUU